rnacentral:rRNA from 1 species
GUGAGGAAUAUUGGUCAAUGGCCGGAAGGCUGAACCAGCCAAGUCGCGUGAGGGAAUAAGGCCCUACGGGUCGUAAACCUCUUUUGUCAGGGAGCAAGGCCGCCCACGUGUGGACGGAAGGAGAGUACCUGGAGAAAAAGCAUCGGCUAACUCCGUGCCAGCAGCCGCGGUAAUACGGAGGAUGCGAGCGUUAUCCGGAUUUAUUGGGUUUAAAGGGUGCGUAGGCGGCCUGCCAAGUCAGCGGUAAAAUUGCGGGGCUCAACCCCGUACAGCCGUUGAAACUGCCGGGCUCGAGUGGGCGAGAAGUAUGCGGAAUGCGUGGUGUAGCGGUGAAAUGCAUAGAUAUCACGCAGAACCCCGAUUGCGAAGGCAGCAUACCGGCGCCCUACUGACGCUGAGGCACGAAAGUGCGGGGAUCAAACAGGAUUAGAAACCCGAGUAGUCC